rnacentral:tRNA from 1 species
GUCACGGUAGCUCAGCCGGAAGAGCAGCUGUCUAGUAAACAGCAGGUUGUCGGUUCGAUUCCGACUCGUGACU